GAUGAACGCUGGCGGCGUGCCUAAUACAUGCAAGUCGAGCGAACAGACGAGGAGCUUGCUCCUCUGACGUUAGCGGCGGACGGGUGAGUAACACGUGGAUAACCUACCUAUAAGACUGGGAUAACUUCGGGAAACCGGAGCUAAUACCGGAUAAUAUAUUGAACCGCAUGGUUCAAUAGUGAAAGACGGUUUUGCUGUCACUUAUAGAUGGAUCCGCGCCGCAUUAGCUAGUUGGUAAGGUAACGGCUUACCAAGGCAACGAUGCGUAGCCGACCUGAGAGGGUGAUCGGCCCAACUGGAACUUAGACACGGUCCAGACUCCUACGGGAGGCAGCAGUAGGGAAUCUUCCGCAAUGGGCGAAAGCCUGACGGAGCAACGCCGCGUGAGUGAUGAAGGUCUUCGGAUCGUAAAACUCUGUUAUUAGGGAAGAACAAAUGUGUAAGUAACUAUGCACGUCUUGACGGUACCUAAUCAGAAAGCCACGGCUAACUACGUG
rnacentral:rRNA from 1 species